rnacentral:rRNA from 1 species
GGGGAAUAUUGGACAAUGGGGGCAAGCCUGAUCCAGCAAUACCGCGUGUGUGAAGAAGGCCUGACGGGUUGUAAAGCACUUUCANUUGUGANGAAAAGUAGUNGGUUAAUAAUCUGCANGAUCCUGACGUANCUUAGAAGAAGCACCGG